UUUGCCGAUAAAACCUGGUACAAUGUGUUGAAAAAUGCAACUGUUAAAUUCAACUUAAAUAAGCAUGAAUGAGAUUUGCAUUUAUAUUUGGUCUGUUCCUAACAAAAAUCUAUCGUAUGGCUUAAAAACAAUUGGAAUAUAGUGCACAAGUUGUAUGGACUACUUUUAUGAUGCUUUUAAGUUAUUUUUGUAAUUUUUAUAUCUUGCCAGUAUAAAGCACCUUCUACUUUUAUUUUAUGGAAAAUGUCUCGGUUACUGCUGUAACCUCCGUUCCCUGAUGGAGGGAACGAGACGUUGUGUCAAUGUAGUGACACUAGGGGUCGCUCUUGGGAGCCCCAAACACCUCCAAUCUUUGAGAAAAGGCCAAAGAGAAUUGGCAAGUGGAAUUUGCAUGCCACUCCCCUGGGACACUCAUUCAGGUUUUGUGCUGAUGAGCCGAGACAAGGUCCCAGCCAUUUCAGCGGAUAGUACUGUGUUGUGGCAAGAGGGUCAUAACCAUGACGCACCUUGGAAGCUUGCUGUAAGGGCCGUCAAAUGCAAACCAUUGGAAGGGUCUAUGACAAGGUAAAACAGAGACAUGAAAGUACGUAUCCUUCAGUUAUACUGCCACAAACCAAUCUUGAUAACAGACGCACACCAAAAUGCAUUUCCGCAUCAGCAUCUUGAAUGGGUGUCUGUACAGGGCACAUUUCAGAACUUGCAUGUCCAAGAUUGGCCGCAACCCAUUGCUUUUCUUUGCCACGAUGGAUUAAGGGCUGUAGAACCCUUUCCUAAUCUUGGCUGGAGGGACAGGCUUAUUCGCACCCUUGCGCAGAAGAGUCGUGAUCUACACAGAUUAUUGCAUCAAUCUCAAAGCACCACUUAUCAAGAACAACCACCACCAACAACAAACAAUUUUGUGAGGGAUUCACCUCAAUCUCAAACCCUCACAGCUCAGGAACAACUAACAACAAACAAUUUGCAGUUAUUGUUAUAAACAUGAGCCACAUCUGAAGGGUCGAGGAGGAGGUGUUGCAGAUUUUGGUGUUACUCAGAGGACAGGAUAUAAAUGGACUCCUAUCCUGAGGUCACCAGAACCGGCUGGAUCCAGCAGCAUUCAUGCUUCCUGUUGGACUCCACUGCUACGUGUCGCUGAAUGAUGAUGACUAAAUGCAGCCGGUGUCAGCCAAACAUCACUUCAGUCUAUUAUGAUGGGCUUCAGAGGAUUAACUGAUGCCAACUCCAACCAUAAGACAUGGGAUACUUCAUAUGCCAUUGUCUGAACCUUGGAUUUAGGAUGGACCACACCGAACCUCACAGAAAUUACCGGCCAGGUUGAACUGCGCUUCACAUCCCUGAUCUCUGCCUGCAUCACCUCGGUCUAUUGAUUGACUACGAUCUUGACACGAACAAUUGCCAACAAAAGCCUUCAUCAGCCCAUUAAUAAGGAGAAUUGCAUCUAUGUGAACUUCUGCAGUUAAUCCAGGAUGGACUUCAAAGACAUUGGUCAUUAAUCUUACAGUUCAAACAAAAUCAAUGUUUAAACACCGAAUCUUAACACUUACUUAGUUUAAUAAUUUUAAACCAUGACUUUAACUAUACAUAAGUAAUAUUUACAUUAUAUUCAUGAUGUUAGCUCUAGUGGAACUGACCCCCACAGUGAGUCUGGUUUCUCCCAAGGUUAUUUUUUCUCCAUUAAUCAACAUCUUAUGGAGUUUUGUGUUCCUUGCCACAGUCGCCUACAGCUUGCUCACUGGGGUUAUUAAUACAAUAAUUUUGUAUUUACUUAUUUUUAAACACGAUAAACAAUCGUAUUUUAUCUAAUUACACAAUGAUGAUUCAUCAACAUUAUAGACAUUAGUUUUAUUGUCUGUUAAUGCCUGAUCUUCUGUAAAGGUGCUUUGAAACGAUGUGUGACUUGACUUGACUUGACUAUGUGAGAUUUGAGUGGCUCACAUUUGUUUGCACAUCACACAAAAUAAUUGCAACACCCUGCAAGGUCUCAAUUUCAUCAGUCUUGAGUGGUUUAAUUACCUCGCAUCAGAUUAGUCAGAUCACUGUCUGGUCAUUAGUCAGAUCACUUUGUAACCAGCUAAUGCUGGUUAUUGGCUACCUGAUUGUCAAGUAAAGUAACAAUCAUUCUAGAUGUGAUGUCUGUGGUGAAAACGUUAGUACACAAUACUAAUAAUUUAGAAAACACAACUGUGAAGCACAUACCUGAACCAUAGGGAAGUGAGAACAGCCAUUCGUUUCCCAGAAACAGAUGCCAAAAAUAAAGAAAACAGACAAAAUAUGGUCAGUAUUUUCAUAGUUCUCUCCAAAUUUUCUGUCAAAAUACAAUGUGAUUGGGAGUCAAGUAACUCUGACCAUACAGCAGGGCAUGUUUAAUCUGUCAUCAAUCACUGUCAACACUAACUUCCUGUAGACAAACAUUAAAGUGUUCUUCCAUUUCAUGCUGAGGAUUCUGUGUCUGAUGACUUGUUACCAAUAUAGUAAACCAAAACAUAGGCAGAAAAUCACAAGUCUAAUGGUUAUAUUAAAUAAUUUCAUUGCAUCUGUCUCG